rnacentral:rRNA from 1 species
UACGGAGGUGCGAGCGUUGUCCGGAAUCAUUGGGCGUAAAGGGCGCGUAGGUGGCCCGGUCAGUUCGUGGUGAAAGCGCGGGGCUCAACCCUGCGUCGGCCAUGAAUACUGCCGCGGCUGGAGCACUGUAGAGGCAGGCGGAAUUCCGGGUGUAGCGGUGGAAUGCGUAGAGAUCCGGAAGAACACCGGUGGCGAAGGCGGCCUGCUGGGCAGUUGCUGACACUGAGGCGCGACAGCGUGGGGA